UGAGUGGUGUUUGGUUUGUUACGGGUGGUUGGCUCUUUGCUUGCGCAACAACUUCCACCUGGCAUUCCUCUUCAGUUUUGUUUCAAUGCUUGUAUUGCACUGAAUGCUCGUUGGGUUUCUUGUGUUGCAUGCCUAAUUGAUGGAAUCGCGUGACGAAUCGAUAAUUAUUUUCGUCUUGUGUCGCACAUGCGAUGCUAGAUGAACCUUAUAGCAGCCUUUGUGAUCCACUCUUUUGAUGUACACGCAUUGAUUUUGUGGCUCAUUGAGUGUUUGCUUGGACUCAUGGAUAUGGAACCUUGUGUGGGCAUGUGUUCUUUUACUAGAUCAUUGUUUGCCCAAGCUAAGCUAUUUCAAUUACGAUUUCCUAUCAUGUUUUUAUGUGAUAGGCUAUAUCGAAUAUGAAUGCUACCUGG
rnacentral:misc_RNA from 1 species